rfam:Alcanivorax borkumensis SK2, complete genome
GGGGCCGACCUGGAUUCGACGCCGGUACUGAAUUCUGUGGUGCAUGCCGAGAAGGUCACGAGUCUCGUAAAUCAUUUGUGGCAUAUUAAAGCAAUCGCAAACGACGAUUCUUACGCACUAGCAGCUUAAACCCUGCUUAUCGCCAAUCGACCCUGCCUGUGGGGAAGAGCGGCGAGCAUCGCAACACAGGCUCGCAGCAAAGUCCGCCCCGGAUGGCGCUGUUAAAACUCUUAGGGGCCCGGCUUUCACGUCCUGCCAGUUGGGCUGUGAAGGCUUAAAUCAAUAAACAUGGCUAAGCAUGUAGAUCUGCAGAUGGAUUGCUGACGGACGCGGGUUCGAUUCCCGCCGGCUCCACCA